rnacentral:rRNA from 1 species
GGGUUGUGAGGUUAAGCGACUAAGCGUACACGGUGGAUGCCCUGGCAGUCAGAGGCGAUGAAGGACGUGCUAAUCUGCGAUAAGCGCCGGUAAGGUGAUAUGAACCGUUAUAACCGGCGAUUUCCGAAUGGGGAAACCCAGUGUGACUCGUCACACUAUCAUUAACUGAAUCCAUAGGUUAAUGAGGCGAACCGGGGGAACUGAAACAUCUAAGUACCCCGAGGAAAAGAAAUCAACCGAGAUUCCCCCAGUAGCGGCGAGCGAACGGGGAGGAGCCCAGAGCCUGAAUCAGCAUGUGUGUUAGUGGAAGCGUCUGGAAAGGCGCGCGAUACAGGGUGACAGCCCCGUACACAAAAGCGCAUAUGCUGUGAGCUCGAUGAGUAGGGCGGGACACGUGGUAUCCUGUCUGAAUAUGGGGGGACCAUCCUCCAAGGCUAAAUACUCCUGACUGACCGAUAGUGAACCAGUACCGUGAGGGAAAGGCGAAAAGAACCCCGGCGAGGGGAGUGAAAAAGAACCUGAAACCGUGUACGUACAAGCAGUGGGAGCACCCUUUGGGGUGUGACUGCGUACCUUUUGUAUAAUGGGUCAGCGACUUAUAUUCUGUAGCAAGGUUAACCGAAUAGGGGAGCCGGAGGGAAACCGAGUCUUAAU